rnacentral:rRNA from 1 species
GAUUUCUGGCCUGAAACAUUUUGCCAGCCACGGUUUCGUGUGUUAGUGCUUGAUGUUCUGGCCAUCCUUCCAAUGGCUGCGCAUCUCUCUUCAUUGAGUGGGUGCGUGGUAUUGGAUCUUUUACUUUGAAAAAAUUAGAGUGUUUCAAGCAGGCUUUAUGCUAUGAAUACAUUAGCAUGGAAUAAUAAUUUAGGACUUCGGUUCUAUUUUGUUGGUUUCUAGGACUGAAGUAAUGAUUGAUAGGGAUAGUUGGGGGUGCUAGUAUUCAGCGGCCAGAGGUGAAAUUCUCGGAUUCGCUGAAGACUAACUUAUGCGAAAGCAUU